rnacentral:lncRNA from 1 species
AUGUUGGAGGUGGCUGUGUACGUGAGGUGGGAUAGGGAGUUCAGGCAUCAGGUUGAUGUCCUGUGUGUCAUCCACUCCGAAGACCCUCUCUUUGUGUCAUCUCUCUUCCCCUUCCUUUUCUUGACAGUUAGAACAACAGAGGCAGCAGUUGCUUACAGAACGCCAGAACUUCCACAUGGAACAGCUGAAAUAUGCCGAAUUGCGAGCCCGACAGCAAAUGGAACAGCAGCAGCAUGGGCAGAACCCGCAGCAGGCACACCAGCAUUCUGGAGGACCUGGCCUGGCGCCACUUGGAGCAGCAGGGCACCCCGGCAUGAUGCCUCAUCAGCAGCCCCCUCCCUACCCUCUGAUGCACCACCAGAUGCCACCACCUCAUCCACCCCAGCCAGGUCAGAUACCAGGUCCAGGUUCCAUGAUCCCUGGGCAGCCCAUGCCAGGCCGCAUGAUUCCCACCGUUGCAGCCAACAUCCACCCCCCUGGGAGUGGCCCAACCCCUCCUGGUAUGCCUCCAAUGCCAGGAAACAUCUUAGGACCCCGGGUUCCCCUCACGGCACCUAAUGGCAUGUGACCUGACCUAGUUUUGGCCAAAAAUCCAAGGACUGCAGUUCAGGAGCUGUGGGGCCUCCCAGGACUGUCCAGCUUGUCAGCAGCUGCCUCGAGUGAAGCUCUCUGGCCCCGGUGGAGACACUUAAUCAGCAAGAAGUUAUUGAUAAUCUGUUCUGUGCCCACCUAGGCCAGGCACUGAGAGAGAAAGAAAAGAAGACACAGAACUUGCCCAGGAAAGAGCUUUAUCAUUUAACUGAAGAAAUAAAAUUAGCAGAGAGAACCA